UAGGGAAUAUUGGGCAAUGGAGGGAACUCUGACCCAGCCAUGCCGCGUGCAGGAUGAAGGCGUUAUGCGUUGUAAACUGCUUUUUAUAUAGGAAGAAAUAGUCCUUGCGAGGAAAGUUGACGGUACUAUAUGAAUAAGCACCGGCUAACUCCGUGCCAGCAGCCGCGGUAAUACGGAGGGUGCAAGCGUUGUCCGGAUUUAUUGGGUUUAAAGGGUGCGUAGGCGGUUUAUUAAGUCAGUGGUGAAAGACGGUCGCUCAACGAUUGCAGUGCCAUUGAUACUGGUAGACUUGAGUAUGAUUGAGGUAGCUGGAAUGGAUAGUGUAGCGGUGAAAUGCAUAGAUAUUAUCCAGAACACCAAUUGCGUAGGCAAGUUACUAAGUCAUAACUGACGCUGAGGCACGAAAGUGUGGGUAUCAACCAGGAUUAGAUACCCGUGUAGUCCCUGAGCGGGCUGGCAAGGCGCAU
rnacentral:rRNA from 1 species